rnacentral:rRNA from 1 species
UAGUCCAUGCUGUAAACGAUGAAAACUCGCUGUUAGAUAUUUUAAAUAUUUAGUAGCUUAGCUAACGCGAUAAGUUUUCCGCCUGGGUAGUACGACCGCAAGGUUAAAACUCAAAGGAAUUGACGGGGGCCCGCACAAGCGGUGGAGCAUGUGGUUUAAUUCGAUGUAACGCGAAAAACCUUACCUACCCUUGAAUCCUUGGAAUUUGAUAGAGAUAUCAAAGUGCCCUCGGGAACCAAGAGACAGGUGCUGCAUGGCUGUCGUCAGCUCGUGUCGUGAGGUGUUGGGUUAAGUCCCGUAACGAGCGCAACCCUUUUCCUUUGUUGCUAACAUGUAAAGAUGAGGACUCUAAGGAUACUGCCGGUGAUAAAUCGGAGGAAGGUGAGGACGACGUCAAGUCAUCAUGGCCCUUAUGGGUAGGGCUACACACGUGCUACAAUGGACGGUACAACAGGUUGCUAAAUUGUGAAAUGGAGCCAAUCCCAUAAAGCCGUUCUCAGUCCGGAUUGAAGUCUGCAACUCGACUUCA